rnacentral:rRNA from 1 species
CCUAGCACAUGCAGUCGAGCGCGAACGUUUCUUCGGAAACAAGUAGAGCGGCGGACGGGUGAGUAACGCGUGGGAAUCUACCCAGUAGCGGGGGAUAACAUGGAGAAAUUCAUGCUAAUACCGCAUACGCCCUACGGGGGGAAGGAGGGGAUCUUCGGACCUUUCACUAUUGGAGGAGCCCGCGUGAGAUUAGAUAGUUGGUGGGGUAAUGGCCUACCAAGUCGACGAUCUCUAGCUGGUCUGAGAGGAUGAUCAGCCACACUGGAACUGAGACACGGUCCAGACUCCUACGGGAGGCAGCAGUGGGGAAUAUUGCACAAUGGGCGAAAGCCUGAUGCAGCCAUGCCGCGUGUGUGAAGAAGGCCCUAGGGUUGUAAAGCACUUUCAAUUGGGAGGAAAGGUUAACGGUUAAUACCCGUUAGCUGUGACGUUACCUUUAGAAGAAGCACCGGCAAACUCCGUGCCAGCAGCCGCGGUAAUACGGAGGGUGCGAGCGUUAAUCGGAAUUACUGGGCGUAAAGCGCGCGUAGGCGGAUAAUUAAGUCAGCUGUGAAAGCCCCGGGCUCAACCUGGGAACUGCAGUUGAUACUGGUUAUCUAGAGUACAGUAGAGGGUGGUGGAAUUUCCUGUGUAGCGGUGAAAUGCGUAGAUAUGGGAAGGAACAUCAGUGGCGAAGGCGGCCACCUGGACUGAUACUGACGCUGAGGUGCGAAAGCGUGGGGAGCGAACAGGAUUAGAUACCCUGGUAGUCCACGCCGUAAACGAUGUCAACUAGCCGUUGGGGGACUUGAUCCUUUAGUGGCGCAGCAAACGCAAUAAG